rnacentral:rRNA from 1 species
CGGACGGGUGAGUAAUGUCUGGGAAACUGCCUGAUGGAGGGGGAUAACUACUGGAAACGGUGGCUAAUACCGCAUAACGUCGCAAGACCAAAGAGGGGGACCUUCGGGCCUCUUGCCAUCAGAUGUGCCCAGAUGGGAUUAGCUAGUUGGUGAGGUAACGGCUCACCAAGGCGACGAUCCCUAGCUGGUCUGAGAGGAUGACCAGCCACACUGGAACUGAGACACGGUCCAGACUCCUACGGGAGGCAGCAGUGGGGAAUAUUGCACAAUGGGCGCAAGCCUGAUGCAGCCAUGCCGCGUGUAUGAAGAAGGCCUUCGGGUUGUAAAGUACUUUCAGCGGGGAGGAAGGUGUUGUGGUUAAUAACCGCAGCAAUUGACGUUACCCGCAGAAGAAGCACCGGCUAACUCCGUGCCAGCAGCCGCGGUAAUACGGAGGGUGCAAGCGUUAAUCGGAAUUACUGGGCGUAAAGCGCACGCAGGCGGUCUGUCAAGUCGGAUGUGAAAUCCCCGGGCUCAACCUGGGAACUGCAUUCGAAACUGGCAGGCUUGAGUCUUGUAGAGGGGGGUAGAAUUCCAGGUGUAGCGGUGAAAUGCGUAGAGAUCUGGAGGAAUACCGGUGGCGAAGGCGGCCCCCUGGACAAAGACUGACGCUCAGGUGCGAAAGCGUGGGGAGCAAACAGGAUUAGAUACCCUGGUAGUCCACGCCGUAAACGAUGUCUACUUGGAGGUUGUGCCCUUGAGGCGUGGCUUCCGGAGCUAACGCGUUAAGUAGACCGCCUGGGGAGUACGGCCGCAAGGUUAAAACUCAAAUGAAUUGACGGGGGCCCGCACAAGCGGUGGAGCAUGUGGUUUAAUUCGAUGCAACGCGAAGAACCUUACCUGGUCUUGACAUCCACAGAAGAAUCCAGAGAUGGAUUUGUGCCUUCGGGAACUGUGAGACAGGUGCUGCAUGGCUGUCGUCAGCUCGUGUUGUGAAAUGUUGGGUUAAGUCCCGCAACGAGCGCAACCCUUAUCCUUUGUUGCCAGCGGUCCGGCCGGGAACUCAAAGGAGACUGCCAGUGAUAAACUGGAGGAAGGUGGGGAUGACGUCAAGUCAUCAUGGCCCUUACGACCAGGGCUACACACGUGCUACAAUGGCGCAUACAAAGAGAAGCGACCUCGCGAGAGCAAGCGGACCUCAUAAAGUGCGUCGUAGUCCGGAUUGGAGUCUGCAACUCGACUCCAUGAAGUCGGAAUCGCUAGUAAUCGUGGAUCAGAAUGCCACGGUGAAUACGUUCCCGGGCCUUGUACACACCGCCCGUCACACCAUGGGAGUGGGUUGCAAAAGAAGUAGGUAGCUUAACCUUCGGGAGGGCGCUUACCACUUUGUGAUUCAUGACUGGGGUGAAGUCGUAACAAGGUAACCGUAGGGGAACCUGCGGUUGGAUCACCUCCUUACCUUAAAGAA